rnacentral:rRNA from 1 species
CCUACGGGUGGCAGCAGUGAGGAAUAUUGGUCAAUGGGCGCGAGCCUGAACCAGCCAAGUAGCGUGAAGGAUGACUGCCCUACGGGUUGUAAACUUCUUUUAUAAAGGAAUAAAGUGAGGCACGUGUGCCUUUUUGUAUGUACUUUAUGAAUAAGGAUCGGCUAACUCCGUGCCAGCAGCCGCGGUAAUACGGAGGAUCCGAGCGUUAUCCGGAUUUAUUGGGUUUAAAGGGAGCGUAGAUGGGUUGUUAAGUCAGUUGUGAAAGUUUGCGGCUCAACCGUAAAAUUGCAAUUGAUACUGGCAGCAUUGAGUUCACAACAGGCAGGCGGAAUUCGUGGUGUAGCGGUGAAAUGCAUAGAUAUCACGAGGAACCCCGAUUGCGAAGGCAGCCUGCCGGGGUGCGACUGACGCUGAGGCUCGAAGGUGCGGGUAUCAAACAGGAUUAGAUACCCGUGUAGUC